rnacentral:rRNA from 1 species
AUGUAUCCGUCCCUGGUCAGCGGUGGCGGCCGCCGGGAAGCACGGCUGUGCGCGGUGACCGGUGGGCGGGGAUUCAUGGCGAGGCACCUGGUGGCCGCGCUGCUCCGCUCUGGAGAUUGGCGUGUGCGGAUCACAGACCUCGGCCCCGAGGCCGCCCUGUCACCCGCCGAGGAUGAUGGGCUUCUUGGCGCAGCCCUCCAAGACGGCCGCGCCGCCUACGUGUCGGUCGACGUCUGCGAAUUAGCCCAACUUACAAAAGCUUUGGAAGGGGUGCAUACUGUUUUCCACACUGCAUCCGCCGAUCAUACCAAGAACAACUUCCAACUUCAUUACAAGGUCAACGUCGAGGGGACAAAGAAUGUCAUCGAGGCUUGUAACACAUGCAAGGUUAAAAAGCUCAUAUACACUAGUUCUAGUGGGGUUGUAUUCGAUGGUGUUCAUGGCCUGUUUGCCGUAGACGAAUCAACGCCAUAUCCAGAUAAGUUUCCCGAUGCAUAUACAGAAACCAAGGCAGAGGCAGAAAAGCUUGUGAUAAAGGCCAACGGAAUAAAUGAGCUUCUCACUUGUUGUAUACGUCCUGGCAGCAUUUUUGGUCCCGGUGACACGAUAGUGCCAAUUUUAGUUUCUUACGGAGGAAUGAUGAUAAUUAUUGGUGAUGGCAAGAAUUGUGAUGAUUUUGUGUAUGUUGAGAACGUGGUGCAUGGUCAUCUAUGUGCAGAGAAAACUCUUUCUACCAAAGACGGUGCAAACAGAAGUGGAGGAAAAGCCUACUUUAUAACUAAUCUGGAGCCAGUGAAUUUGUGGGACUUUGUUUAUAUGGUUUUGGGAGAACUUGGAUACAAAAGCCGAUUCAGAUUAAGAAUUCCGUCAUAUCUUGUCAAGCCGAUAACAUGUCUGCUAGACUGGAGCUACAAUAAUAUAUUCUCUCUUUACGGAAUGCGUCAACCUGGCAUGCUAACAUCUGCAAGCAUUAAGUAUGCAACGCUGAAUAGAACAUUCAAUUGCAACAGUGCUGCUGAACAACUUGGUUACAAACCAAUAGUGCCACUCAAGGAGGGAGUAAAGAUGACUACUGAAUUCUACAAGUGGUCAAGAACGUGA